CCUACGGGCGGCAGCAGUGGGGAAUAUUGGGCAAUGGGCGCAAGCCUGACCCAGCAACGCCGCGUGAAGGAAGAAGGCUUUCGGGUUGUAAACUUCUUUUCUCAGGGACGAAGCAAGUGACGGUACCUGAGGAAUAAGCCACGGCUAACUACGUGCCAGCAGCCGCGGUAAUACGUAGGUGGCAAGCGUUAUCCGGAUUUACUGGGUGUAAAGGGCGUGUAGGCGGGGACGCAAGUUGGGUGUCAAAUCUACCGGCUCAACCGGUAGCCGCACUCAAAACUGCAGUUCUUGAGUGAAGUAGAGGCAGGCGGAAUUCCUAGUGUAGCGGUGAAAUGCGUAGAUAUUAGGAGGAACACCAGUGGCGAAGGCGGCCUGCUGGGCUUUUACUGACGCUGAGGCUCGAAAGUGUGGGGAGCAAACAGGAUUAGAUACCCCUGUAGUC
rnacentral:rRNA from 1 species